rnacentral:rRNA from 1 species
CACCGCCCGUCACGCCAUGGAAGUUGGUUCAACCUGAAGCAGGUGCGCUAACCGCAAGGAGGCAGCCUACCAUGGUUGGGUCGAUGACUGGGGCG